UAGGGCAUAUUGCAAAAUUGGCGAAAGCCCGAUGCAGCAACGCCGCGUGGGCGAUGAAGGCCUUCGGGUCGUAAAGCCCUUUUUGAGGGGAUGAGGAAGGACAGUACCCUCAGAAUAAGCCUCGGCUAACUACGUGCCAGCAGCCGCGGUAAAACGUAGGAGGCGCGCGUUAUCCGGAUUUACUGGGCGUAACGCGCGUGCAGGCGGAUUGGGGAGUUGGAUGUGAAAGCUCCCGGCUUAACUGGGAGAGGUCGUUCAAUACUUCCAGUCUUGAGUGAAGUAGAGGGAAGGUGAAUUCCGGGGGGAGUGGUGAAAUGCGUAGAUAUCCGGAGGAAGACCAGUGGCGAAAGCGGCUUGCUGGACGGUAACUGACGCUCAGACGCGAAAGCUAGGGUAGCAAACG
rnacentral:rRNA from 1 species